UCCGGUGACGAAGGCGGGAUGGAGACACCUGAAUACAUUCCGAACUCAGCAGUUAAGCACCCCAGCGGCGACGAUAGUUGGCCUUGCGCCUGCGAAAAUAGCACGUUGCCGGGU
rfam:Firmicutes bacterium M10-2 genomic scaffold acPFH-supercont1.6, whole genome shotgun sequence.